rnacentral:lncRNA from 1 species
AGAGAAGUGAAACGAAGUUGGUGGCUUGGUGGGAUAGGAAGCUGAAACCAAUGGUUAAGUCAAAGUUUUGUUUUCCUUGAUUUGCUAUACAUUAAGAUAAUCUCUGCAAUGUGUGUUUCCCAUUGUCAGCUAAUUCAGAGGCAGAUGUUGCUUCCGUUAUUUAAAAAUCUCAGAAGCCUGGCAAAAAGGAACGCUAUGGAAAGCACCAGAGAGCUGACUGUGUUCUUCCUGACCCAUGUUCCGGCAUCGAUGGGUUUGGAAGACAACCGUGCCAAUACAAGUCCCACACGUAUGGAGUAGUCCUGUGCUCAGGCCCAGGGUCAAGAAGAUUCCGGAAGAGAAUGCUACCCAUCCCUAAUGAGGUGCUGCUGCAGCAUCCACCUGAGGAGCCCAAAGGGCUUGUCCUUGGCAGUAACCGUCCAUCCCUGCUGGGUCUCACAUGUGUGGCACCCACGGUGCAAUUCUGCAGUGCUUUUUCUCCAAGGCACUGAGGGCAGUUCUCCGGAAGGAAAUGAAAAAUAACAGCCUGGAGCCCUGUGCUCCCAGAUAUAUGCAGCGUGCUUAUGGCAGAAGAAUCCCAAUUGUGAGCUGGUACUUAGAGGAGGUUUGCUGUGGUGAUCAGCCUGUCUGUGUGGCGGACUUGGAGAAGCCUGUGAGGCCCACCAGGAUGUAAGCUCCAUGUCUGUCCUCAUCCAUCCUGCAUGUCCGGUGCCUGAAUCAGUUUCUGCACAGUGAAUGCAGUUGAAUGAAUGAACCAAUGAGUCUCUGCCAUCAUGACGCAUCCUCAAAUGGGAGAGCUGAUGCCACCUGUGGGGCGAGGGAUAUAAGGUCGGAGAUGAUGUUUGCAAGUGUUCUGGACCUAGGACACAGACUGCCUUCACUUCACAGGCCCUCCCUGCAAAGUCGGCUGCAUAAGGGCCAGGGCAGGUCCAUGCUUCUCCUGGGUCCGGGCAGGGAGGCUGCCAGAGCCCUUAGCAUCACGUGCAGAUGCCGGCGCUGCCGUUGGGUUGGGUGACCUCAGCACUGAAGAACGCAUCCUCUCUGACACGCCUCAGGUCCGGGAGGUUAUACAGCAGCCGGCAGGGUUUCAGGAACCAGCACAUUCUUUCCAAGAAGAGUCAGCUGUAGUCAUUCACGGAUGUUGAAGUCAAAAUGUUUUACCUCCAGUGGCCACAAGAUGGAAGAGAUCUGCUUUUCCAGCGACACAGGGGAGGUUUGUACCAAGCCUGUGGGGAGACUCCGGGAAGCAGGGCUGACGUAGUUUAACCAGUUGAGGGUGAUAGGGGCCUGCAGAACAGUCAUUUCCUGAGAAAGAGAGCUGUGCCUGUAUGUAGGGGGAGGGGCAUCUGAGCCAGCAGUGCAGAUCUCAGAAAAUGUUUCUCUUCUCCCCAGAAUUCUUAAAUUUCCUAAGGGGAGAAGUGGCAGGAAGGAGAAUUCUGGGCUUGUGCCUUUCUACUUCCAGGCUUUGGUGGCCAAGGAAGGAGUUCUAGAUUCUGGUCAGAAGCUCAUCUGAAUGUGGUGAGGAGGACACUCACAGGUUCUUGGUAUCUUUGUCUUGGCCUUUCUUCCUUUUUUCUCCCAUUUUCCCUUUUAAAAAUUUCGUUUUCAUUUUUACGAAGGCUUCAGAUUUUUUGGUUUGAAGGAAGAACUCAGGGCCAGGAGGGGUAGAAUAAGUUUCACAUGAUGAGACCUCCUUUGGAGGAAGGACAAUCUGACUACGUGAGGUAGAGACAAGGGCCGAGUGUUUUUUUUUUUUGUUUGUUUGUUUUUAAUGACGAAAACUAGUCCUUUGAGUUCUGAAGUCGGAAUUUUGGCCACCUGGUAGAUGAUUCAGUAUUCUGCUAUGAUUUUUCCUUAUUUAGCGUGGAUAGCGUUUUCUCACUUUCCUUUUUGGUUGGAUUUUUAAAAAGUUAUUUCAUAUGCAAAAUACAGAGUCAAUGAGUGAUGCUAAAAUGAUUUGUGUUUCCAGGAAGGCAAGACUGAAUUCUUAAGCAAUAUAAUGUGGGAAGAGGACUCUGUUAUGGGAUACUUAUAGUCACUGGAGAAAGGAGGGAUCCAGGGACUCUUAGGACUCAGCUGUAUAGGGGAGGGGAGUAGGACGUGAUGAGGGGAGAAUUUGGCUAGGCCAUCUUUCUCUCUCCUGAUGGGACCCUUCGAGGGUUAUUACAAAGCCAGCUUUGCAGAGGGUUGCCACUGCUGGCAACCAGAGUGAAUGCUUGGGUUACUUAAGAUCGCUAGGCUUAAUGAAAUCAUCAAUGCUUUCUGGGGAGAGAACAAAGUGACAAAAGCAAGUUUUCCUUUCUCAUUCUCUUGCCUUACCUUUCUAAAUCUGAUUUCAUUACACUGAAAUGUUGAAAUGCAUGAAAAGUCUUUGAUAAAGUAACAUUAAUAAGAACCAAUUAAUUUGGGAUUUGUGAUAAUUCAAGCAGGGGUUGGGUUGCAGUUACCUUUGUAUUAUUGGAGAAACAGGUCUUCAAAGCAAAUUAAUAGCACAAAAAGAUCCCAGAGGAAAUACUUAUGAGUAUAAAACAUUUUCCAGCCUUAUAGUAACAUCCAGUUGAACAUCCACAAGCGAUUCAUUCUUAUCUAAUCAAUUAAAAGGGGUCCAUUAGGACUCCAACCUGGCAAACCUUGGGUUAGCCCAAUCCAAGUGUUACUAACAAACACCCUGGAGAGGUCAAGGUUCAUGUCCCCUGCUCCACCUCCAGAAGGCUCUCGGAUGUGGACCAAUGACAACACAGGGCUGACAGAGGCCAGGGUGGGACUUUGGGAGGAGCAGCAAAGAGCCGCCCCAUCUUCAUCUCCAACCUCCGAAUGCCUUCUUCCUCUUGGAACUUGUCUCCCAAGGGCCUGGUGUUGCAAGAGGAGUCUGGAACCUUUUCUAUUCACCUGGGAAAAGUAUUGCUGCUCUCAGAGAAAAGCCACUUGGGAUGGGGGUAGGCCCCAGGGCAGGAGGCCAAGGAAGCAGACCUUGCCUUUCAUCUGGGCCAUCGGGAAUCCUCAGGGCAAAGAGGUAGUCUAGUCCAACCCACAAGGGUUGGCAACCCCAGAGGGCUUGGGGCCAGGGAACUGGUCCUGAAGAGUGUCGCUUUGCCUGAACAAUCUUUUCUGCUCAUCAUCCUGAGACCAUGAGAGUUGCCUGGCUUCCAUAGGGUUAAAAGCAUGGAGCUGGAGCUGGUGCCAGCCUGCCUGGUUCAAAUCCCCAAUGCUGCUGCCUAUGAACUUGUCUGUAAAUGGGGUUAACAACAGCAGCUCUACCUCACAUGGUUGUCAUGAGGAUUAAAUGUAUUAAUAUUCUUAAAGUGCUUGGAUACCACUUGGCAUAUGUAAGUGCUAAAUAAAUGUUUGUUUAAUAAAUAACCGUUAUAUAUGCUGGAAUGUGAUCACACUUCAGUGUUAAAAUUAAUCUUUCAUGAAGUCUUUUCACAAACUUCAACUGGCCUUAUCUCCCUUAAAUCCAAAAUAGUGAUGUUUUAAGGCACGCUUACGCAAAUAAAUGCCCAAAAUUUUAACACCACGGGCAGAGAGCUUCUAUACAUGCACCGAGAAAUGAAAUGAAUUCAGACCCUUUCAGGUGCAAGUGAAGAAAUUAUCUGCUCAUGUUUUAAAAGUGUAAAAUAGAAUGUUAAUUUUUCAGGAUGUUUACAUUCUCAUUCCCUUAUGUCCCAACAAUUCCCUAUCAUUGUUUAAGGCUUAACCCUUCCUCUACCCUUAAUUUCUCCCACAAAUUGUCACUGCAGUUCAUCUUUAAUAUGUAAUUGGAUUCCUCAAUUUAAAACUAUAUUAAGGUAAUGGGUUCUAAAGUACAACCAGGCUUAUUUUUAACUGCGUGCAAGAAGCUGAAGUACUAUGGAAAAAUCAAGAAUUGUACUGCUCCACUAUGAGACUGCAGACCAAAAUAGACUAGCACUGGGCUCUUCACCCUGCCACCAACUAUAAUUAGCUUGUCUACAGCACGAAGGGGGAAAAAAAUCACACUACCACUUAAGGUGCUGAUUGAUAGAACAACCCAUUUUUAUCCUUUCAGAUCCCCCUUUUGUGGGUAAGCCAUCCUGUGUUUUGCCUGCAUUUGUUAAAUCAUACCCACUCUCCCC